rnacentral:rRNA from 1 species
ACGCUCGACACCUACGGGAGGCGGCAGUGGGGAAUAUUGCACAAUGGGGGAAACCCUGAUGCAGCGACGCCGCGUGAGCGAAGAAGUAUUUCGGUAUGUAAAGCUCUAUCAGCAGGGAAGAAACUGACGGUACCUGACUAAGAAGCACCGGCUAAAUACGUGCCAGCAGCCGNGGUAAUCUGAGCGGGCUGGCAAGGC